GACGAACGCUGGCGGCGUGCUUAACACAUGCAAGUCGAGCGGUAAGGCCCUUUCGGGGGGUACACGAGCGGCGAACGGGUGAGUAACACGUGGGUGACCUGCCCUUAGCUCUGGGAUAAGCCUGGGAAACUGGGUCUAAUACCGGAUAUGACUCCAUGACGCAUGUUGUGGGGUGGAAAGCCUUGUGCGGCUAGGGAUGGGCCCGCGGCCUAUCAGCUUGUUGGUGGGGUGAUGGCCUACCAAGGCGACGACGGGUAGCCGGCCUGAGAGGGCGACCGGCCACACUGGGACUGAGACACGGCCCAGACUCCUACGGGAGGCAGCAGUGGGGAAUUUUUCGCAAUGGGGCAACCCUGACGAAGCAACGCCGCGUGGGGGAUGAAGGUCUUCGGAUUGUAAACCCCUGUCGACUGGGACGAAU
rnacentral:rRNA from 1 species